ensembl:lncRNA
UUCCACUCACAGCCAGGGUUUGACAUUGAUCUACACGACUACCACUAGUUCCAGCUGUACCCACCCCCAGCAGCCUCCAUCACCCAUCACACCUCCUGGGUAUCCAUCGCCCUCCAACCUGCAAUCUCAGCUCCUGAGGGCUCUUCUCUUGUGCUCUUGGCUUAUUCGUUCUAUUUCAGGAAGGAAAGAAAACCCUAGGGAGGGAAGUUGUCGCUGGAGAUAGGAUCAGUGGUUCUCAACUGGUGGUAAGGGGGCAGGAAGGCGGCCUGCAAAAUCUCCUGAAUUGCUUUUUGGAAAUAAGCAAAAGCCAGGUGUCACUUGGAUCUGAGUUCAAGUUGGGAUCCCUGAGAGGGGUGGGGCUGGGGAAAUAGAGUCAGUGGAAAUUGUAUUCUGAUGUCUCCUCCUUUCUUCCUCCCAGGGAGAUAGUCUCUUCCAUCUUCACCUCUCAAAAGGCAUACAGGUGGGCAGGGACCUGGGGAGCCACUGGAUGGGGCAGUUUCCACCCUUCUAGGGCAUCCAUGAGCAGAUGAACUGACCUCCACUGGGGACAAGCUGGGCUGUGGGAGGAAUCACAUGGUCCCCCCAGGAAAGGCGUGGGGAUGUAUGAGGCCUAACAUGGAGUGCCCUGCCUUACUCUCUCCUCUUGGAAGUUGCACUCUGGAGGGUCUCCUGCUUGAAGCACAUGGUCUCCUGGAGGCUGACCAUGAGAUCCCGGGGGGUUGCAAGUCUUUGUCCUGGCAGAGGAAUGGAGAGAUGCUUCCCAAAGCAGUCCCAUGUCUAAGGGCAGGCCUUGCCCUCUCCAUAUUCACUUCCAGAGUGAAGGCCUACCCACAGGAACUGGCACCCAAACCCACCAGGCUGCCCCACAGCUGAGCUGGCCUGAGCCUGGUCCUCUUCUGGAAAGCUUGUGCAUCCUCCAACUCAGCCUUGGCCUUCAUCCGUGCCCAGCCCAACUUAUUGUUCAACCCCAGACUCUGCUGAGAGAAGGUGGAAAAAGUUCUGUCACUGAAGUCAGGACAUCUUGUUGCAGAUCAGGCCUGGGCUGGGACAGGCUCCGAGGCUUCCAGCCCUAGCAUUAGCAGCCCAGCUUAUGUGGUCACCAUGUCUCUGGUCCUGCACCCUGUGUGCUGUGUGCAAUGGGGACUUUAAGAGAUCUUUUGGCAUGUAUCAGGAGCCACCACGGUCCAAACCAUAGUCCUGGUCCUUCCCUCUCAUUCCUUGUUUGACCAACAGGAACUGUUCAUUGCCCUUUGGAGUGGAGCAAGCAGUGAGGGGUACGGCAAGAGGGGAGGGGGCAGCCUCUGGCCCCCAGAAGCAGAACAAUUCCUCAGAACAACUGGUCAGAGAUAAGUGAGAGUAGGCCGGGCGCAGUGGCUCACACUUGUAAUUCCAGCACUUUGGGAGGCCGAGGUUGGCAGAUCAUGAGGUCAGGAGAUCGAGACCAUUCUGGCUAACACGGUGAAACCCCGUCUCUACUAAAAACACAAAAAAUUAGCCAGGCGUGGUGGUGGGCCCCUGUAGUCCCAGCUACUCAGGAGGCUGAGGCAGGAGAAUGGCGUGAACCCAGGAGGUGGAGCUUGCAGUGAGCCGAGAUCACGCCACUGCACUCUAGCCUGGGUGACAGAGCGAGACUCCAUCUCAAAAAAAAAAAAAAAAAAGAAAAA